CCCAACUAUCCCUAUUAAUCAUUACGGUGGUCCCAUAACCAACAAAAUAGAACCGUCCGUCCUAUUUCAUUAUUCCAUGCUAAUGUAUUCAAGCAAAUGCCCGCUUUAAACACUCUAAUUUUUUCAAGGUAACAGUCCUGGUUCCCUAACGCGCCCAGUGAAGAACACGCUAGCUCACCAGAAGAAGAGACCCGACGCGAAGACAGUACUCACCAGAAGGCGGACCGCCCGGUCAGGCCCAAAAUUCAACUACGAGCUUUUUAACUGCAACAACUUUAAUAUACGCUAUUGGAGCUGGAAUUACCGCGGCUGCUGGCACCAGACUUGCCCUCCAA
rnacentral:misc_RNA from 1 species